rnacentral:rRNA from 1 species
AUUGAACGCUGGCGGAAUGCUUUACACAUGCAAGUCGAACGGCAGCACGGACUUCGGUCUGGUGGCGAGUGGCGAACGGGUGAGUAAUGUAUCGGAACGUGCCCAGUCGUGGGGGAUAACGUAGUGAAAAUUACGCUAAUACCGCAUACGAUCAAUGGAUGAAAGCGGGGGAUCGCAAGACCUCGCGCGAUUGGAGCGGCCGAUAUCAGAUUAGGUAGUUGGUGGGGUAAAGGCCCACCAAGGCAACGAUCUGGAGCUGGUCUGAAGGGACGACCAGCCAGAGUGGGACUGAGAAGGUGUGCAGACUGCUCCGGAAGGCAUCAGUGGGGAAGUUUGGACAGUGGUCGAAAGCCUGAUCCAGCCAUGCGGCGUGCAGGAUGAAGGCCCUCUGGUUGUAAACUGCUUUUGUACAGAACGAAAAGGUUUCUACUAAUACUAGGAGCUCAUGACGGUACUGUAAGAAUAAGCACCGUCUAACUACGUGCCAGCAGCCGCCGUAA